UUUAAUUAAAGAGCGUUUUCCGUGAUACAGAAUUUAGAGUAGUGAUAUUGUGCGUUUCUAGUUCAUAUCGUAUUAUGAACAACUUUGCGUUCUAAGAUUUCGAUAAUAAAUCGUUCGAAUUUGCGUCAGAGUAGUAAUGCCGUUUCACGAUCGUCAUCUUCCUUGUCGUCAAGAGAAAGGAACCUCGUUGAAAGGAAAAAGAAGGAAGAAAGUUGUAAAAAGAAAACUGUGCUGCGUUGGAAGGGACGUAGUAACAGUUAUGUCGAAGAAGAAGAAGAAGGUAAGGCUGCGAGGGUGGGCUUUAUUAUGUCUGAGGAGGAGUCACGCGAGUAAGAAGCUAAGGAGAGAUAUAGCUUAAGCCGAGGACAAAAACUAGAACGGGGGUUUGCCUUCAGUGUCUUUUGCACGAGGGAUACGGGAUCACAUAAAGGGUUUUAUUAUGUCUCCCUUUUUCUCCCUUUCUGAGAAACCACAACGAAGAGCUAGCGGCUAACAAUAAGAGCGACACGUGCGCUCGUACACGCUACGUGCUCUUCUCGAUGAUUCGCGUAGAAAAUAUGUCCCCUUGGGAUUCGCAGAAAAACGGCUAAUCUUUGAAGACACCAAUUAAUGUAUUCGUUCGUAUUAAUAUCGUCGAUGAAUCGAAUUAAAGCCGCACCCCUCAUCGCCUAGCAUGGAAAUGAAAUUUCCAACACGGUAAUCCCCACUAAUAUUCAGAGAGUAACUAAAAUAACGCAACGAUGUCAUUGUCCCUUCGAGCCAACCGAUAUCGAUUGAUUCGAGUUAUCGUGGAAUCUCCUCUCGCUACCGACAUAUCCAUCACCUCUUCGAGCCGCGUAAAUAAAUUACGUUCGCGUGACAUUUACCUUCUAUGCUGGCACAGCUUUACCUUCGAUCCUUCUUUCACUCUUCCUCCCUUUUUAUCCUCUCCGCUUCUUCCUCUCAUUGCCUCUUACGAAAAAGAAACUUUUAUAAAAGAUAUGUUUUUCCUUCUCAAAGAGACGAAAACGUAGAGCCUCACGUGGUCACUCAAAGAGCUUUCCCAUGUGUGAAUAAAUCCAAGAAAAAGAGAUGGUUAUGUCAAACAGAUGGAAGAAAGAAAAGGAAGGCGAAACGAGUGCAGUCGAGAGGCAGUGAAUCGUCCUGUGGCAACCUCUUCGAUGGCGUAUUACCAACAUAAGCCUCGGACGAAUGUCCUUUUGAUUGCCAGCCCGUUAAGAAGGAUGAUACGUUUCCUUUUGAAUUCGCCAUGUUGCUGAGGUCCUACUUUCAACGUUGAACAAACAGUCGCAACGAUCUAUUUUAUAUUAUACUCGGCAUUUAAUGGGAAAGAAGUAUGCGCACUAUACUAUUAUAUAUAAUGUCGUUUUCUUGUACGAAGUACGCGCGUACAAUAAAAUUUGGACGGACGAGAUGAAAGGCGUGACGAGGUUAGGAACGGGAGAAGGGAGAGAAUAAUUUCAAAAUGGUAAGCGAACCUGCCGGCGUAUAGUUUAACGACGCGUCUGCGAGCGCGAUACUAAUGAUAAUUUUCUCUGAAUUCCAGCAGGUAAUAUACCUUCUAUAAUAGCGAACGUAAUAUAGUCUUGUCAGACUACAAAGAGAAACAGAUCAAGAAUAAAGGGGACGGACAAGGUGUGUGGCCGACAAAAAGACAGAAAUGGUAUUAGAUUCAUAUUUGAUUAACUUGGCUCUUCGUGAAAUUGACCGAUAGAUUAGAGAUUGAUGUUUGAAAUGAUUGACUGUUUCUCUUUAAACGUGUUUAUCAAACAAUAAUCACGUCGAAUUAUGAACGUUCUGAGUCGUAUCAUCUAUCGGUCAUUCUGUUAUGUA